UGCAGAGACCAAGAAACAGCACCCGCUGUGCCCGUUUUCUUCCUUCUCAUCUCGUUACUGCUCAGACACUAGGAAAGAGCUGGGAGCUGCCUGGCAGAUCUGAGCAGGAGUGGGGCAGGUCUCCACAUCAGCAACCCGAGGUCUCCAGCCUCCCUUUGGCCACCUCAUUCGAUGUGCUGACCUGCUCCUGGGCUUUGAUGUUACUAGUAUGUUAUGGAACCUAUGAUGUCAGCUUUCCUCAAAGGAGGAGAUCCGAUCCUCUACCAAUAUCUGCUUUGAUUUGUCAGACAUUCGUUUGACAGGAGACGGGGACAGCAGAGGAUGAGAUGGUUGGAUGGCGUCUCUGACACAAUAGACAUGAGUGUGUGCAGGCUCCGGGAGAUGGUGAAGGACAGGGAAGCCUGGCAUGCUGCCGUCCAUGGGGUCACAAGGAGUCGGACAUGACUGAGAGACUGAACAACAACACUUUGAAUUUAUACAGUGCUGUGUGUCAAGUGUGUUUCAAUCAAAAAAGAAAUUGGCAUUCCAGGAACUAGAAUCCAGGCCUGCGAGCCUUAUAGAUGCCCUGCCUUGAGACUGAAGACAGAGUGAAAAAGAUAUCAGUGAUCAUUCAACAGGGGAUCCCGCAUGUCUGAAGUGGAGGGUCCUGGAGCAACAUGCCACCAUGGAUGGCAGGCAG
ensembl:lncRNA